GGCCGGCGGCCGAGGCAGCCCACAGAGGCGGCGCCCCCUCGAUGGUUUCGCCGUCGAAACUGACCGAGCCGCCGAGUUCCACGUCGGCGCCGCACUGCUCCAGCAGUUUGACAAGGAGUAAGAGGAGACAGCUUGACUGCAGUGUCUGUGUGCACGAUGAGAUUCGGCCAGCAACAGAUUGCUGAUUGGUGUGUGCAGCUGUGGCCAGUUAUGAUUGCCAAAGGAUAAUGGCCUGAAAACAACUAUCUGAUUGGUUCCUGUGUGCUGAACAGUUUGUGGGUGUGAACAAUGCUGGUAGAAGCCUUCAGAAUGCUGAAAGACCAGCCCCUGAAAUGUAGAGGUGGCAUAUGAAGCAAAUGCUGUGCUUAUUAAACAAAGCAUUAACCACAAAUGUGAUAUGCCUACAGUUACAUCACAAAAUGGACACAGCAACGAAAGAAACAAAGUUGCCAUCAGACAACAACACAGAUAUCAAAGAGGACUUUGCAGUGCCCAAAAAAACUGAAGCUGAUGCAGAAAGAUACUUCAUGGGAAGAUCAUGAGUGAUUUAUUUGAAAAAUCUCUUAGAUUAACAGGCAUGCCUCUUAUUUUAUGAUUAUCUCUAAAUGUAAUCAAUGAGGUGACCGAAAGAAGGAAAGAUACAAUCCUCAGAGAUAGUAAGAACUGCCGAUGCUGAAGUCUGAGAUUACACAAUGUGGAGCUGGAGGAACACAGCAGGCCAGGCAGCAUCAGAGGAGCAGGAAAGCUGAUGUUUCGGGUCAGGACCCUUCUUCAUAAAAGAUACAAUCCUGUUGUCUGAUCUAUGGAAACAUUCUCCAAGCAGCUCUGUAAAUCCCACACAUUGUGUAUUAUUGUUCUUUAAAUAUUUAAUUCUGCAAAUAACUGUUUUGUCUUUCUAAAAAUAGAAGUUUUGUUUCUCUCUAUCCCACAUUCGUACUGUCACAGAUUGAAUCAAGUAUUAUUUCACCGUUGUUUGAAAAUAUGUUUAAAUGUAUAUUGUAGGCAAGGAUUUGGAUUGUAGAUACCAACUAAAUUUAAUUUAAAAGGUGUAAAACAGGUUGUAAACUCUGUUGUGUUACAUUAUAAUAGGAGCUAUUAAAAUUUAUUUCACAGAAGUCCAUGACAAGCUUAAAGUAUGUGAAACACCUUUUCUCAAUUGUUCUACUGAGUGUUACUGCCCUCUUCUGGUUCUAUUCUUAGCUAUCCAGUCGUAGCUGGAUGAUCUUGUGCAAGCCUUUUCCCCUCAUCCUAACCUUUAUCUUUGAAGAUCUCCAAAGAUCUACUGACUCCCUUUUGUUUCUCAUCUACAUGCUGGUCCUCAUGACAUCAUCCGAAUAUAUGACUUUCCAUUUCUAUGAUAACACUCAGCUCUAAUUCAUCUUUGUCAACCCCUCUAAUGCUCUGUGUUGUCAGCCUAAUUUCCCACAAUCCAAUCGAGCCCAGGUUAGUUUUAUCAGAUUAAACAAUGGGAAGAUCCAGUCAAGUACAACAAGGUGCAGAGCUGGAUGAACACAGCAGGCCAAGCAGCAUCAUAGGAGCAGAAAGGCUGACGUUUCGGGCCUAGACCCGAAGAUCCAAUCAAUUGGCUUUAAACCCCCAACUAUUCCUUCACCUCGAUUAAAUCCCCUCCCUGACCACUGCAGGCCAAACAAAACAAUUCAACAUCCUGUUUGAUCAUAAACUGAGCUCUUGCCUCUGUACCCUUUCUACCGAAAAUGACCACCACCUUUUACUUCUAGAACAUUGCUGUUCUCAACUAAUCUGCUGUUAAAACUAUCAUGAUGUUUUGCCACUUCCAGACAAAUGCUCUAUCGGUCACUCUCGUACUUUCCACAUUCUGCAAAAUUCAACUCACCCAAAACUGUGCUGCCCAUAUCCUAACCUGCAGCACCUUCCUCACCAUUACACCUGUGUUCCAUGAUUUUCGUUGGUUCCCAAUUGCCCAAUGCCUCACAUUUAAAAUUCUCAUGCUAAGCAUUCACAUUUUUCCAUUGGCUUGUGCUUUCCAACUCUAAUAUCUUCGAGCUUUACAAACCUCUUGAGAACUCUGCAGUCUCCAACGAUGGACUCUUCUUUGAUCCCAUUCAACUCUACAUUGACAACCAUGACUGAAGUCAUCUAGAAACUUAGAUCUGAAAUUUUCUUCCUAGAUUCAUCAACUCUCUCUCCUCUGACACUCUCUUUCAAGCCAGUGUUUGACAAAGUUCUUAAUAAGUCAUUCCAAUAUCUCAGAGAUGGUAGGAACUACCGAUGCUGGAGAAUCUGAGAUAACAAGGUGUAGAGCUCGAUGAACACAGCAGUCCAAGCAGCAUCAGAGGAGCAGGAAAGCUGACGUUUCGGAUCUGGACCCAGACCCAAAACGUCAGCUUUCCUGCUCCUCUGAUGCUGCUUGGCCUGCUGUGUUCAUCCAGCUCUACACCUUGUUAUUCCAAUAUCUCCUCUGGUUCAAAGUCAAUCUUUGUCUGAUUAUGCCCCUUGAAACAAUUUAUGACAAUUUACAACCUUAAAUUACCUUGUAAUUAAAAAUUGUUGUACAUUCCCAGAAUGGUAUUCAGCCCAAAAUUCUGUCCAACUCAGCCUUGAAUAUAUUCAAUGAUCCAACCUUCAGUAUUGCUGGAGAAGAGAAUUCCAAUGUCCGAGAGCAGAAAUUCUUACUUGUUUUAAUUUUAAAUGGGAGAUCCUUUAUAUUUGAACUGUGUCCAGUUCUAAUUUCUCCGAGAAAGGAAAAGUUCUCUCGGCGUCAACCUGUCAAGACCGCCCAGAAUUUUGUGUUUUGUGUGGUUUCUUCUAAACCCCACUGAGUACAGGUGUAACCUACCCAACCAUUCCUUAUAUACAGUACCUUCUUUCUGUAAGAUAUUGUGAUUUGGCAGCCACAAAUACCUAAAAUAGGUACAUAUAGAUAAAGAGGAACACUGAUGCCAGAAGGCUCCCUGUUAUUAGUUCAAGAGAAUAGUGUCCUUAGUACAGGAAAUGCUGUCUUUGUGAUUUUUAUCUCUGCCUUGUUCUGGACCCCAACUGCUUAGAAUUAUUUACAUGUUUCCAGAGAGAGUGAAAAUUUCUGCUGUGCCAAAUAGGAGUUCUGUAAGAGUUUUUUUGCUGUUAUAAAUAUGUUAUUUAUUACGUGUUUUAUUUCUUAUAUUCACAGCAAUCAGGGUAGUAAAAAUUUCUCUGAAAUUCUUCUGAUGCAAGCAUAUCCAUCUUUAAAUAGGGAGACCAAACUAUACAAACUAUUCUCAGUGUUUUCCAUCAAUGCCCUGCCCUGUCUUGUAUAGUUCUUCCUUUCUGCAAGAAAAGCCAACAUUCCAUUUGACUUCCUAAUUAUUUGCUGUAUUAUCUUGCUAGUAAUUAGGAAUUGUCCUUUGAUUUGGUAAUUGGAUUCACCAAAGGCAUUAAAUAGAGCUUUUAAGGGAAGAGGCAAAAUGACAUGUAAACUCAUAAUUCCCAAGUAUCCUGGGACACUAAACAAAGUAGUGUCAUCAAGUCACACCUUUAUGACAAAGAAGGAGGGCAAUUGGUGCAUCAAAUUGAUUCCAGUUCUAAGUAGGGCAAGCCAGUCAGUAUCACUGCCCUGGUUAAUAUCACAUUGCUGUUUCUGGGAGCAAGCUAUGCUGAAAUUGACCAGUCAUAUUCUUUAUAUUACAACAGUUUCUAUACCUCAAGGGUACUUAAUUUGCCAUAAAUCAACUUUGAGAUGCCCUUAACUUUUAAUUUUUUUAAUGGGAUUUGGGUGCUAUUCACUUGCUUGCAUUUAUUGGUCAUCUCUAAAUGCCCUUGAGAUGACGCAAAAUACUACAUAAGUUUACAUCAUCCCCACUGCAACCUAUCGUAGUUUUGAAACAUGGCCUGCAGCAGUUCAAGAAGGCAGCUCACUACCACCUUCUCAAGAGCCACAAGCAAAGGGCAAUAAAUGCUGGCCUAGCUGGUGAUGCCUACAUCCCAUGAAUGAAUGAAAGAAAGUGAAAGCCUUUUUUAUGGGAUUAAAACAUAGGGUAUAACUAGAAAAUAAUCAUUUUUGAACACAAAUCAAUAAAUUCUUCACAAAACUAAAUAAUAUUUGAUGUGGUGUUCUGCAGGGAGUGGUAAAAGUCAAAAUUGCGCAAAUCAUUUUAGAAACUAAGAUAACUUGCAGUGGAAACUGUAUGGUCUUGCUGGAUAGAUGGGAUAGAUGAAUAUGGAUUGAUGACCCCCCACCAACUAUCACCUCAGUUAAGUUACAUUUACUUGAAAAUGUUCUGAAAUAAAAUGUCAAAUGAUCUUUCCUCCAUACUGACACCAAUUUCUUUUAAAACUUUCAGUUCUAAAAAUGUUACAUUUACAUGUACAUAUGUGUUUUUUAAUUCAUAUAAUAUUCCCGAACUUGAGUACUGAUUGGCCCUGAUGGGCCCUAUUCUGCUUCAGAAGGUGAAUUGACACUGGAAAAACAUGAGUUUGUAUUUUGCUGCUAGUGAUAGUGUCAUAACUAUAUUAAGUAUUUUGUAGAAAAUCAAGACAAGAAUUGAAUUACAAUGUUUACAA